rnacentral:rRNA from 1 species
AACGAACGCUGGCGGCAUCCCUAACACAUGCAAGUCGAACGAGACCUUCGGGUCUAGUGGCGCACGGGUGCGUAACGCGUGGGAACCUGCCCUUAGGUUCGGAAUAACUCCCCGAAAGGGGUGCUAAUACCGGAUAAUGUCUUCGGACCAAAGAUUUAUCGCCUUUGGAUGGGCCCGCGUUGGAUUAGCUAGUUGGUAGGGUAAAAGCCUACCAAGGCGACGAUCCAUAGCUGGUCUGAGAGGAUGAUCAGCCACACUGGGACUGAGACACGGCCCAGACUCCUACGGGAGGAAGCAGUGGGGAAUAUUGGACAAUGGGCGAAAGCCUGAUCCAGCAAUGCCGCGUGAGUGAUGAAGGCCUUAGGGUUGUAAAGCUCUUUUACCCGGGAUGAUAAUGACAGUACCGGGAGAAUAAGCUCCGGCUAACUCCGUG